rnacentral:misc_RNA from 1 species
UGUGGGUGGAAGAAAGAUGAGUGGUGGUGCCUUCAGUAAAUUGCUUAAUCGUCUUGCUGCUCAAGGUUAUGACCUGUCUAUUCCACUUGACCUGAAGGAUCAUUGGGCUAAACAUGGCACAAACCGCUACAGCACAUUGAAAUAGCUUCUGUGUGCAUGUUGGAUUGGGACCUCACAAUAUAGAGAAGGCAUUGUCGGAAAAUGUGUGUUGUGGAUGAAAGAAAGUGUACUUUAAUACUGUGCAGGAGAUAUACCACUAAUAGCUAUUCAUUCACAUUUUUUGAGCUCUGUCUCUGUCUCAGAGUUCCAAUUCAUCUUUAUCAGAACGGCCACAUAUCAUGUACUGUACUUUUGCUUUCUUCAAUGUACGUUUAAUGAAUAUGGUGAUUUGG